GCUGGCGGCAGGCCUAACACAUGCAAGUCGAGCGCACCUUCGGGUGAGCGGCGGACGGGUUAGUAACGCGUGGGAACGUACCCUUUUCUACGGAAUAGCCUUUGGAAACGAAGAGUAAUACCGUAUACGCCCUUUGGGGGAAAGAUUUAUCGGAGAAGGAUCGGCCCGCGUUAGAUUAGAUAGUUGGUGGGGUAACGGCCUACCAAGUCUACGAUCUAUAGCUGGUUUUAGAGGAUGAUCAGCAACACUGGGACUGAGACACGGCCCAGACUCCUACGGGAGGCAGCAGUGGGGAAUCUUAGACAAUGGGCGCAAGCCUGAUCUAGCCAUGCCGCGUGAGUGAUGAAGGCCUUAGGGUCGUAAAGCUCUUUCGCCUGUGAUGAUAAUGACAGUAGCAGGUAAAGAAACCCCGGCUAACUCCGUGCCAGCAGCCGCGGUAAUACGGAGGGGGUUAGCGUUGUUCGGAAUUACUGGGCGUAAAGCGCACGUAGGCGGAUUGGAAAGUUGGGGGUGAAAUCCCGGGGCUCAACCCCGGAACUGCCUCCAAAACUAUCAGUCUAGAGUUCGAGAGAGGUGAGUGGAAUUCCAAGUGUAGAGGUGAAAUUCGUAGAUAUUUGGAGGAACACCAGUGGCGAAGGCGGCUCACUGGCUCGAUACUGACGCUGAGGUGCGAAAGUGUGGGGAGCCAACAGGAUUAGAUACCCUGGUA
rnacentral:rRNA from 1 species